CACCCCCGGAAAACUGGGUUUUAAUCCUUUAAAAAGAAAAACCCCUUUGUUUUUUUUAAAAGAAGGGUUUUCCCUUUCCUUUUGGAGAGAGCCCCGGGGGUUUAUAAGUUGGGUGGGAAGAAAAGCCUCCCACAAGGCAGGUAAAUCUACCCCCCCUUGAGAGGUUAUUCGCCCCCUGUGGGAUUGAAACCCCGCCCCAAAUUUCUCCGGGGAGGCAGCAGUGAGGAUUUUUCCCCAAUGGGCCGCAAGUUUGGAGGAACAACCCCCGCUUGAAUGAAGAAGGUUUUCGGCUCGUAAAGCUCCGUUGUUAAAGAAGAACGUGGGUAAGAGUAACUGUUUACCCAGUGACGGUAUUUACCCAGAAAGCCACGGCUAACUACGUGCCAGCAGCCGCGGUAAUACGUAGGUGGCAAGCGUUAUCCGGAUUUAUUGGGCGUAAAGCGAGCGCAGGCGGUCUUUUAAGUCUAAUGUGAAAGCCUUCGGCUCAACCGAAGAAGUGCAUUGGAAACUGGGAGACUUGAGUGCAGAAGAGGACAGUGGAACUCCAUGUGUAGCGGUGAAAUGCGUAGAUAUAUGGAAGAACACCAGUGGCGAAGGCGGCUGUCUGGUCUGCAACUGACGCUGAGGCUCGAAAGCAUGGGUAGCGAACAGGAUUAGAUACCCUGGUAGUCCAUGCCGUAAACGAUGAUUACUAAGUGUUGGAGGGUUUCCGCCCUUCAGUGCUGCAGCUAACGCAUUAAGUAAUCCGCCUGGGGAGUACGACCGCAAGGUUGAAACUCAAAAGAAUUGACGGGGGCCCGCACAAGCGGUGGAGCAUGUGGUUUAAUUCGAAGCUACGCGAAGAACCUUACCAGGUCUUGACAUCUUCUGACAGUCUAAGAGAUUAGAGGUUCCCUUCGGGGACAGAAUGACAGGUGGUGCAUGGUUGUCGUCAGCUCGUGUCGUGAGAUGUUGGGUUAAGUCCCGCAACGAGCGCAACCCUUAUUACUAGUUGCCAGCAUUAAGUUGGGCACUCUAGUGAGACUGCCGGUGACAAACCGGAGGAAGGUGGGGACGACGUCAAAUCAUCAUGCCCCUUAUGACCUGGGCUACACACGUGCUACAAUGGAUGGUACAACGAGUCGCGAGACCGCGAGGUUAAGCUAAUCUCUUAAAACCAUUCUCAGUUCGGACUGUAGGCUGCAACUCGCCUACACGAAGUCGGAAUCGCUAGUAAUCGCGGAUCAGCAUGCCGCGGUGAAUACGUUCCCGGGCCUUGUACACACCGCCCGUCACACCAUGAGAGUUUGUAACACCCAAAGCCGGUGGGGUAACCUUUUAGGAGCUAGCCGUCUAAGUGACAGAGAAGCG
rnacentral:rRNA from 1 species